GAGCUCCUCAGCUUUGAGAAGUAUGUAAAUGAACUGAAGCAGUUUAGAGACAACAACGGCGGCUCUCCAGAGUACACCAUCAACAUGUGCUUCGGAGAGAAGUUCCCCGAUGGAAAACCUUUGGAGAAGAAGCUCAUCGUAGUCAAGGUGGUCCCUCUGAAUCUGUCGACACUACCAUGAGAUCGCCCAGAUGGAAGGAGCCUCGUCUCUUCACAGCUCCAACGUCAGCCUACAGAUUUACACAACAGCCUUUACGAUCAUUAGCUCGGGUCUUUGGACUGCCGACAGAGGAAGAGUCCGCACGGCCCGCAGCACCUUUACUACCUCAGUCCUGAAUUUGGGCGUCUCAUUUCCCCCCCCCGAAGGGGACUAUUCCAACAACCCGCGCUUAGAUUUGCUACAAAGUGAGCAGAAUGAAUUUGCUAUUGCGUUAAUGGGCCACGUUUAUCGAGCGCUCAUGGGGUUGUGUCACUUAAACUUAAAGGAAAAAAAGUUACAUUAUCUCACUACAUAAAUAAGUUAACUUCUCCACUAUUGGACUGUUGCGUUACUGAACCAAUGGCCUUAAAUAUGAUUUCCUUAUGUCAUAACUGUAAAUAUCAAAUCAUCUAUUAAUAAGCGUAGGUUCAAUUAACGUAUAAUUGCCUAACAUGUUUAUCGUGCGGUAAAACAUGUAACGUUUUUGCUUUUGAUCGUGCGUUUAUGAGCCGUUUAAAAGUUUAAAUUAAUAUAUAGUGUAACUUUUUUUAUUAACUGAAAUAUAUAUGUAUCUAUAUCCAGUUUGGUGAAUUUGUUUUUGCUGUUUUUUUGUUAUUUUACAAACAAUAAUAGACAUUUGAAUUGUAUGACUAAAAGGUACCUUCAGUCUGUUGUGCGCAAUGAGGGGAAUAAAGGAAUUGCUGGAUACGGUUUAUCUUCAGAAGUAUCACUUCUCCAACUCCUUAAAACAAAAUAGGACAUUGAGCAGGUAAAGCAUCAAACUGAGACGAAACCUUGUUUAUAUCCUCAGUGAUUU
ensembl:lncRNA